ACGAACGCUGGCGGCGUGCUUAACACAUGCAAGUCGAACGGAAAGGCCCUGCUUUUGUGGGGUGCUCGAGUGGCGAACGGGUGAGUAACACGUGAGUAACCUGCCCUUGACUUUGGGAUAACUUCAGGAAACUGGGGCUAAUACCGGAUAGGAGCUCCUGCUGCAUGGUGGGGGUUGGAAAGUUUCGGCGGUUGGGGAUGGACUCGCGGCUUAUCAGCUUGUUGGUGGGGUAGUGGCUUACCAAGGCUUUGACGGGUAGCCGGCCUGAGAGGGUGACCGGCCACAUUGGGACUGAGAUACGGCCCAGACUCCUACGGGAGGCAACAGUGGGGAAUAUUGCACAAUGGGCGGAAGCCUGAUGCAGCAACGCCGCGUGCGGGAUGACGGCCUUCGGGUUGUAAACCGCUUUCGCCUGUGACGAAGCGCGAGUGACGGUAAUGGGUAAAGAAGCACCGGCUAACUACGU
rnacentral:rRNA from 1 species